AGGAACAUCACCGGGCUUUGUCCCGGCCGAGACACAGCGGGGAAGGGCUCUGGAUUUCUGCCUCCACCUGUCCCUGAUUCACCCAUGGGUUGUGGAGAAUGAUGUUACUCACCGGAGUUGCCCAAAAAUAACCAUCACCGGUGCAAAGCUCUGCAUGAGUGAUACCAGGAAUACUGAGCCAGCCACGUGUGUUGCUGGGCAUCAGAUGGAAGCCUAGCCUUUUUCUUCAAACCAUCUGCUUUUGUGCAGCCACCUUUGCUUCACAGCUUCUCAGGUUACCAGAGUGAACAUCUGUACAGCCCAUGGUUGGCCCACAUUCUGUCAAAAAAUCUUUAGGGAAGUGACAGACAUCUAUCUGUUCAGAAUGUGGAUACAGAAGAAUUCCUUUGUGUCAACUCAGUACACCUAAUGCUUAGAAAAUGGAGG